GGAGGAGAGAGGAGAGGAGGAGAGGAGGAGUGGAGAGAAGAUGAGGAGGAGAGGAGAUGAGGAGAGGAGUGGAGAGUCUGUGUUGUACGCUAAGGCCUUUACAAAGGUAUUCAAUACAGUCAAAAACACACAACGAGCAACUUCUACCAGUCCAAUAAAACUACUGGAGAGAAACAGUUUGAUUAUUUUGGUUUCUAUAGAUACUAAAUGUAAGUAAAGACAUGAAGGUCCUCAUACAUCUCUGUUUUGAAGCUCCCACACGUUGUCAUCACAACUUAAAACAAUCAAUGGGGUAAAUCUAAACCACCGAUAGGUUACAUCAACCCCCCCCUCGCCCCCUCCCCUGCAGCGACCACAGACAGAGCGCCAUCUAGGGAGGUACGAAGAAGAAGAGUUGUGUUUAUGACCACCGAUAGGUUACAUCAACCCCCCCUCGUCCCCUCCCCUGCAGCGACCACAGACAGAGCGCCAUCUAGGGAGGUACGAAGAAGAAGCCGAAACACAAAAAAAACACGAUUAUUAUUAUUGUUGUUGUUGUUUUUUGUUUACAGAUUUUUUUCCUCUCUCUUGACCACCAUCUGUGGCAAUGAGAGAGAUUGAAACAAGGUCAUAUAUAUAUAUAAAGAGAGAUCAUCAUCACAUUAUUAAUUUUAAAACAUUUUGACGUUGUGACACAGACAGAAUUAAGCCCCUCCUCCCCGUGUCUGUAGUCCUUGUGAUUGGCUACAAUAUGCAUAGAUACAGGGAUCAGCUUUAUGGUUCAGUCCCACUGACGUCACACACACACACACACACACACACACACACACACACACACACACUGGGAGGACAGUGGCGAGGAGGAGGAGGAAGCACGCCGAUUUCUCUACCUUUUCGUAAGACAGCAUUUUUGGGGGGGGGUGAAACCGCUGAGCUCUUCCAAGCAGGUACAAACUAACUCACACAACCAGAAGUCGUUUCAGUGCUAGAAGAUGGAUGCAUCCGACAAGGAGAGAAUCUGGGGAGACACUGGCUCCAUUUCAGGUCUAACCAGAACCACACCAGAACCACGGGUCAGGACACUGACCGACCCCACACCAGAUCUACAGAGGACACUGACCGACCCCACACCAGAUCUAGUCAGGACACU
ensembl:lncRNA